rnacentral:rRNA from 1 species
CGUGCAGGUGGUUUGGUAAGUUGGGUAUGAAAUCUUCUGGCUUAACUAGGAGAGGUUGCUCAAAACUGCCAGACUAGAGGACGAUAGAGGAAGGUGGAAUUCCCGGUGUAGUAGGGAAAUGCGUAGAUAUCGGGAGGAACACCAGUGGCGAAGGCGGCCUUCUGGGUCGUUCCUGACACUAAGACGCGAAAGUAUGGGUAGCAAACAGGAUUAGAUACCCUGGUAGUCC